rnacentral:ncRNA from 1 species
UAGUCUGCCAUACGCAGGAAGACCCGCUGAACUGAAGCAUCUCAUUAAGCGGAGGAAAAGAAACUAACUAGGAUUCCCUUAGUAAAGGCGAUCGAAAAGGGAACAGCCCAACGUCUUAAUCCCGCAAGGGAAAUGUAGUCGGUUCACCUAUUGCACUGGUCUAAGUCAGAUGGAAUGCUGCGCGAUUCAGAGUAAAAGCCUCGUAUGACCAACCGCAAGCUUACGAUGGACCGGGGAGAGUCGGAUACUUUGAGAGUAGUGUCUUAAGGGGGUGGUAUGUCCCAUCCAAGGCUAAAUAACGUGAGGAGACCGAUAGAUUACAAGUAGUGUGAACGAAAGAUGAAAAGAACUCUAAAACAGAGGGUGAAAAGUUCCUGAACUUGCUUAGGGUUAAGGCUAUUUAUAGUACCCGUCUUGAAACACGGAUUAGGGAGUUUAUCUGUAGUGCGAGUCUUUGCACGUUAACUGUAAAGGCGUAGAGAAAGCAACUGGCGUUUGCAUGGCUACUGAGCAUUACUGAUAGGACCCGAAAGGUGGUGAACUUUGCCUGCACAGGUUGAAGUCAGGGGAAACUCUGAUGGAGGACCGUACGGGUUAUUGAUGUGCAAAUCAUUUUUCUGAUGUAGGUAAAGGUGCGAAAGACUCAUCGAACCACCUAAUAGCUGGUUUCCUCCGAAGUUUCCCUCAGGAUAGCUGUAAUGCAUUUAGUUAAGGGGAGUAGAGAUAUGGGUAGAGGUGCAGGGAGCCUUCGGGUUCUCAACUUAUUUCCAAACUUCGAACCUCCUUGUUAGGCAUUUACCUAACUGGAAAUGCUUAAAUGAAUUAGCGUUACA